AAAUAGUUGUUUCUUUUUCUGGAAAAUUUCUUUGGACCAAAAUUCUUUUUAACUCGGCAGUUGAAUAAUAAUCAGGUUGUUUCAAGAUAGGAGUAUUAGAAGAUAUGUUGUUUUGGUUGUCAAUAUCAAAAUCAUCAUUUAAAAUUGUAUCCAGAAUUUUAUUUCUUAAAUCUUUAUCAUCUAUUUUCUUUAAAAUCUUCAUA
rnacentral:lncRNA from 1 species